GUUUAAGUAUAAAUAUAAUAAUAUGUAUUAUAAAGCGAUAUUUGUGAUUGAUUGCUAAACAUAAAGGUCUGCAAUUAUUAUAUGACUUAAGCCUAGGUUUGAACAAUAGUUGAUUCAAAAACACUGUCCGUCAAAUAUAAAGUAUUUUGAAGAAGAAAAUAUCUUGGUGACAUUGUCCAAAAUAGACUCCUGUUAACUUAAUAACAUACUCAGUGCACAAAUAUCUCAAAAUGUCAGAAGCUGCUGAUGAUCCGAUAAUUAAAAUUGAACCACAAGAAUAUCCAAUUGAAGACAUUAAACCAGAAAUUGAGGAAGACCCUGAAUCGUGUUCAGAGGAUGACAAAACGUGUCUAAACAGAUUUAUGAACUCAAUA